UAACUUAUGCCCGUUGCAGACGAUGCGCAGUAGCUUGCGCAAGUACUAAUACUAAGCAUAUAUUUUCAUCGUGUGAACGCAUUUUGCUUAGUGAAAGUGCGAUACGUUUGAACGCUGGCGCAAGUACCUGCGCAAGUACUCGCGCAAGCUACUGUGCAUCGUCUGCAACGGGCAUUACACACAAAUGCUUUAAAAA